rnacentral:lncRNA from 1 species
UUAAAGGAAAAGUAAACGUUGACAUUCUGUCAGAAUAUUCUAAAUCUUUGAGGUCAUUUGUGUAAAUCAGAACGUUAUCAAUCUAUAACAAAUACACAUCCUCGCCGAUUUUGAAAUACAUCAAAUGUGGCUACGGUGAUGACUGCUAAAUCAAAAAUACUAUUCCUUAUUCUGGAACGUUACUUUAAGCUUUGUAAAUAAGUGACAUAUAAAAAGCAGAUAAUGUAAUAUGCCAUAUACAUGUAUAUAUACGUCUAUAAA